AGAGUUAAACAGUAUGUGAAAUUGUUGAAAGGAAAAUGAUUAAAGUCAGUCGUACUAACGGGGAAUCAACCAUUUGAGUCUGAAUUCGUGGAUGCGAAGAGUCUUCGUUUUUGCGAUAUUUGCGCUUUUUUGGUGCACUUUCUUGUAUUGUAGAUUAGCAUCGGUUUUGGUAGUUAUAAAAUGACCGGAGGAAUGUAGCUUUGAUUUCGGUUGAAGUGUUAUAGCCUUUGGUAGAUGUAACGGUCGAGACCGAGGAUUGCAAUGAAUACCCUCAUGGGCUAUUCGUCUGAUCUCUGAUACGUCACUUUGGCGUCAAAAGCUUGCUUAUGAUGUUAAAGUGUUCGGUCAAAAGGUUAGAACAGAUUAAAUUCGUUAAGGAUGCUGACGUAAUGGCUUUAAACGA
rnacentral:misc_RNA from 1 species